rnacentral:ncRNA from 1 species
CCCUGUAGAGCUUCCUUUGGUCUAGUCUUGUAUAGUUCCUGCGGGGGUGUAGACUAGGUGGGAGAGCAAUCGAUUCUGAAAAACCACUACCCUGUUUGGAAUUAUGCUUACCUAUCACAAGGAAUAGGACUAGAUAGAAAGUUUGGCUGGGGCGGCACACCUUCGAAAGAGCAGCGAAGGUGUCCUAAGUUGAGCUCAGUGAGGACAGAAAUCUCACGUUGAGGAUAAGGCCAAAAGCUCAAUUUACUGUGCCUUUUUGUACUAGGAUCAGUUACGAAAGUAAGGCCUAACGAUCCCUAAAUAGCCUCAGGUGCGUGAGGAUUGGGGUGACAGACAAGUUACCUCCGGGACAACUGGCUUGUGGCUGCUAAGAGAUCAAAUCAACGCAGCUUUUUGAUUCUUCGAUGUCGGCUCUUCCUAUCCUAGUGAUGUACAAGUUGCUAAGGGUCGGAUUGUUCACCCGUAUUAGGGAUCGUGAGCUGGGUUUAGACCGUCGUGAGCCAGGUUUGUUUUAUCCUACUGGAUAUAGCAUCAUGAUAGUAGAUUGAUUUAGUACGAGAGGAACUGUUGAUUAUGGCCUCUGGUUAGCGAUUAUCGGAAACGGUAUGUCGCGCAGCUACGCCGUCUGGGAUAAUGGCUGAAAGCCUCUUAAGCCAGAAGCCCAUCUAGAAAGUGAUGCACGUGAUGUUGGACCGAUACGAAUAAUCAUACUCAAAAGGUCCGCUUCAUAGGUAACCCAAUGUAGAAGACAUUGUGUGAACGAAGGUACUGUAAGCAGUGGAGUGGCAUUACGUCCACGACCUGUUGAGGUUCAGCUUCGCUUCUAGGUUUCC